rnacentral:snRNA from 1 species
GCGCUGGCUUCAGCAGCACACGUACUAAAGCUGGAACAAUACGGAGAAGAUUAGUGUGGCCCUCACGCAAAGAUGACACGCAAAUUUGUGAAGCGUUCCAUAUUUUU